rnacentral:lncRNA from 1 species
AAAAGUUACAAAAUUUCACGCUUUAUAAGUUGCUCUCCCAAAUGAGUAUCUUUUCUUAAAAUAUGGUGUAGUGUAUAAAUAAGGUUAGCAGAAAAUCUGACUAAAAACAUGUAGAAAAAUGUAGGCUUUGCGAGUUGUUUGAUAGGUGGUCGUCUAUGGCUCCUUGGUGGCUUCUCUGUGUGCUUCUUCAUUUUGCAACUCCUCUACGUUUCUUUCUCUCUCGUAAACUUCGGGCAAAGGCGACGGCUUUCCUGUUCGGAGUGGUACCUCUUGUCAUCAUUGUUGUUCUGUCUCCCUCGACUCCGGAGAUUGUUUUCUUACGGCGCAGAAUAUGACUCUUCGGUUCUCGAAGACACAAGAGAUGUGACGGUUCUGCAGUGCAGUCAUUGAUCGCCAUGGAGGUCGCUCUUGGUCAUAGCUUACAUCCCAGCACCUUGCGGGCUCACUUGAUCUUGCGAGGUGGUGUAGUUAGACUUUUCUGUGCAGGUUUCGAGGCUUAUGGGUCAGGAAGUAGCGAUGAAUCAACCCAUUUUUUGCAAGUGUUCGAUGCGGACUUCGCAGGUGUCUGCUUGGUUCGGUGUUUACCUUCUGCUCGCAGGAGUUCAACGUCUUUGUAGCUGGUACCUGUCUGUCCGUGGCGCCUUUAGUGAGGAUGUACAGGUCUUGUUACGGUGGCCCGACUUCAGGUAUGGCUGUUCGUAACUCCCUCUUCAAUUGGUCGCCUUGCGCUUAUCAGACGAUGGAGAUUAUAGGCUUUGAGGAGAUUCCGAGACCCAGCUACCUCAGGCGUCGCUCCGAGAAUUCCAACAUCCGAAAAAAUGAGGUGAAACCCACAUUUUUCGGGAUUUAAUGGCAUCGGUUGAGAACGGGAAUCGGUUAUCUAGAAAUUUUGGAAUUGAUUAGCGGAAUGUGUCGGUUUAGAUGGUUGAUGCGAAGCUGGUUAAUGAUAUUUGAUUCUGGUUAAACUUUUGGUCAAAUCGAGUCUGUAAUUGAAUUGUAUCUCCGGUUACGGGUUUUUCAAAUUUAUAAUAUAAUUUUC